rnacentral:rRNA from 1 species
AUUGAACGCUGGCGGCAGGCUUAACACAUGCAAGUCGAACGAGUGGCGGACGGGUGAGUAAUGUCUGGGAAACUGCCUGAUGGAGGGGGAUAACUACUGGAAACGGUAGCUAAUACCGCAUACCAUCAGAUGUGCCCAGAUGGGAUUAGCUAGUUGGUGGGGUAAUGGCUCACCUAGGCGACGAUCCCUAGCUGGUCUGAGAGGAUGACCAGCCACUCUGGAACUGAGACACGGUCCAGACUCCUACGGGAGGCAGCAGGGGGGAAUAUUGCACAAUGGGCGCAAGCCUGAUGCAGCCAUGCCGCGGGUGUGAAGAAGGCCUUCGGGUUGUAAAGUACUUUCAGCGGGGAGGCGUUACCCGCAGAAGAAGCACCGGCUAACUCCGUGCCAGCAGCCGCGGUAAUUC